rnacentral:rRNA from 1 species
AGGAACGCUGGCGGCGUGCCUAACACAUGCAAGUCGAACGAAGCUCCGAUUCUUGAGAUUUCGGUCAAGAGGAAAGGAUGACUUAGUGGCGGACGGGUGAGUAAUACGUGAGCAACCUGCCUUUCAGAGGGGGACAACAGUUGGAAACGACUGCUAAUACCGCAUAAUGUAUCGAGGUGGCAUCACCAUGAUACCAAAGAUUUAUCGCUGAAAGAUGGGCUCACGUCUGAUUAGUUAGUUGGUAGGGUAAUGGCCUACCAAGACUGCGAUCAGUAGCCGGACUGAGAGGUCGAACGGCCACAUUGGGACUGAGAUACGGCCCAGACUCCUACGGGAGGCAGCAGUGGGGAAUAUUGGGCAAUGGGCGCAAGCCUGACCCAGCAACGCCGCGUGAAGGAAGAAGGCUUUCGGGUUGUAAACUUCUUUUAGCAGGGACGAAACAAAUGACGGUACCUGCAGAAUAAGCUCCGGCUAACUACGUG